rnacentral:rRNA from 1 species
UACGUAGGGUGCAAGCGUUGUCCGGAAUUAUUGGGCGUAAAGCGUCUGUAGGUGGCUUUUAAGUCCGCCGUCAAAUCCCAGGGCUCAACCCUGGACAGGCGGUGGAAACUACCAAGCUGGAGUACGGUAGGGGCAGGAGGGAAUUUCCGGUGGAGCGGUGAAAUGCGGUAGAGAUCGGAAAGAACACCAACGGCGAAAGCACUCUGCUGGGCCGACACUGACACUGAGAGACGAAAGCUAGGGGAGCGAAUGGG